UACCUUAUAGUCAUAAAUGAUAUUAGACUGCAAUUCUAAAGGAGUAGUAAGACUACUAAGGUUU
rnacentral:tRNA from 1 species